rnacentral:rRNA from 1 species
GACGAACGCUGGCGGCGUGCCUAAUACAUGCAAGUUGAGCGCUGAAGGCUGGUACUUGUACCAACUGGAUGAGCAGCGAACGGGUGAGUAACGCGUGGGGAAUCUGCCUUUGAGCGGGGGACAACAUUUGGAAACGAAUGCUAAUACCGCAUAAAAACUUUAAACACAAGUUUUAAGUUUGAAAGAUGCAAUUGCAUCACUCAAAGAUGAUCCCGCGUUGUAUUAGCUAGUUGGUGAGGUAAAGGCUCACCAAGGCGAUGAUACAUAGCCGACCUGAGAGGGUGAGCGGCCGCAUUGGGACUGAGACACGGCCCAAACGCCUACAGGAGGCAGCAGUAGGGAAUCUUCGGCAAUGGACGAAAGUCUGACCGAGCAACGCCGCGUGAGUGAAGAAGGUUGUCGGGUCGGAAAACUCUGUUGGUAGAGAAGAACGUUGGUGAGAGUGGAAAGCUCAUCAAGUGACGGUAACUACCCAGAAAGGAACGGCUAACUACGUG